AGACAUUUGGUGUAUGUGCUUGGCUG
rnacentral:piRNA from 5 species